AUGCGCGCAAUGCCGCCGCCGAACUGGCCGUUCAAGGGCCACUCCAUGUCAUCCCCGGUGGACCUGAUCGUGUUCCACCUCCUGGAGCUGGACCUCCCCGCGGACGACUCCGACGACCGGCGCCAAGGCCCGCUCCGGCACCGGUGGAACCGGAAGCUCCUCUUCCACCUCACGCAAGAAAUCCUCCCCGUCCUUCUCCACCUCGACGACAACGGCGCCUCCUACAGAACCAGACUCCACGGGCCGGCGCUGCUAUCGAAGGUGUGGAGCACGGUGAAGGCAUUCCCGGCGGCGGACUGCAGGGUGGUGGGCGACAUCGACGCGCUGGUGGCACUGGACCUACAUGUCACCCAAUUUUGUUGUCUUUGGGGAAUAGAUGAUGACACAUGGACACCAUUCGGUGGCAGUUUGAUGUUUUUCAGGAAUGAAUUCCACCCGUUAUUCAAUACUACUAUGAGAAAAGUAGGGAAAUGCUCACCCUCUGCUAAAUGUACUGGUUCGUCUCGCGGUCUCACCCCCAAAAACAGAGGAGAGGAGAAGGGAGCUCCUCCCUCACACUCGUCGGCUCCAAGGAGCCCCGCCGCCAUGCAUGGUGGAGAGGAGCAGGGAGCUCCGCCGCCACGCAAACCAAGUCUGCAACGUUUGAAUAUUAUACUCAGUCAGUUGCUCGACUACUUACAGUCCUAUUACUUGAGACUUAUACUUGGUUAG
rnacentral:rRNA from 1 species